CCCGUUCCCGUAGGGUUUUCUUUUUUCUUCCCGCUCUCCAAAUUUCCGGAUUACAGACCUUGGCUCGUAUGUCGUUUCCUCGGGUUACCGGUUUCAUAAACCUAACUAGUGCUGGAAACUGCUGGCGCGCCACCCGAGAAUUUUAGAGCCUCGGUAGGUUUGGUUGUUGGGAACUCUGAUCAUUGUGAUGCUGAGAGGCUCAGUGGAUCUGCAGUCUGGCUCUCCCUGCUGUUAGCAGCCCUUCAGGACAACACACAUUCUGCAGGGUAAUCGUAAAGCAUCUACUGGGUGCUAUGCAACGAGAUGGGUCACAAGCCUGGAAGCCACUGGUAAGUGUCAUUCUAGGCACUGCAGUUCUCUAAAUCUCUUAUUCUUUGGACCAUCCCCUAACCACUGUCUGUGCCAGCAAGUAUUCACCCCACUUCACAAAGAAGGUGAAACCUCUUAAGUUUACCAGCUGGCAGAGUUGGAAAUGGAUCCUCAACUCAUGGGGCAAAGCUGGGACUGACUGACCCACUCAUCUGCAUGGAGCUACACAAAAUAAUCUCUAUCAACUGCAGCUCCAAGUCCUGGUUUUCAAUCCACCAACUGAAUGAUCUGGGGUAGGAAAAGCUGAUAGGAGUUGCUGUCUUCUUCCUCCUCUUAGUUUUCUUCUUUCAUGUUGUCUCUGCUGCUUCCCUUCCAGGGUAAACCAUCUCUCCCUCAGUGCUCAAUAGUUCAUGACUUACCAGGUAUACUAAGGCUACCAGUCCACAAAUAUAACAGUAACUAAUAAUAGUGACUUUUCACGAUCUUGUUGUGGGCCAGGGUCAGGAAGAGUGCUUAUCUCAGCUCCCCCCAUCCCUGUGUACACUCCCUUGGUCCUUUUUUCUCCUUGUCCUGAAUGCCCCCAGCUCUUCACCCUUUCUCCUCCUCUCCCCACACGCACUCUUCAGCUCUGCAGGCACCCCUUGGCAUCACCUUCUAAGUUUUUUUACUCCACUGGACUGCUGAGGAUGUCAACUGGGUCUUGUACAUUCGAAACCCUAAAGCCAGGCCCAGAGGAGGAUCUGUCAAAGGUGUUGAUGAUCAUCUUUACAUCAAAGUCUUUGAAUAAUAGUAGUUACUGUUACAUGAAGGCCCCCCAAGACCUGGGCUUUACACACCACAGUCCCACUAAGCAAUAGCAUCCAUCCUUCACACAAAGGAAAUCCAUGCUGGGAGAGCCUAGGAGCCCUGCGCAGGCCACAAUGGGGAACACAGCAGCUGGGAUCCAAACCCUGUUCUUUUAUCUUAAUUUUCCUCAAACGUGCCAAAGUGUGCCUUGUCUAUAGGUAUUUGUACUCCCCUCACUCCUGCCUCGUAGUAUUUACCCUAACAUCUUCACCUGGUAUCCCCUUCCAGCUCUAAACUCAAGUAUCAGCUCCUCAGAACUGUCUUCCUGCCCAGUUCUAAACUAGUAUUGCCCACCCAUGUCACUCCCCUCUAGCAUAUUCCAUUGUUUCAUUUUUCUUCAGGGCACUGACUGCCAUUUCAAAGUAUCUGCUUCAUUAUCACUCUCUACCUUCUCUACAGCACUGCCCAAUGGAGCUCUCUUCGUUUAAAGAAAUGUUCCAGAUACACUGUCCAACAUAGUAGUCUUUAGCUGCAGGUGACCAGUGACCAUCUGAAAGAUGGCCAAUGUGACUAAGGAACUGAACUGUUUUAAGCUCAUUUUAGUCUGUUUAAAUGUAAUCAGCCACAUGCUAGUGGCUGCUCCAGAAUAAAUACAGGCCCAGUGAGACAAACAGGGGGCCUUACUACCCUGCUCAACACUGUGACCCACCCCUGUAACAGUAUGUGGCAUUUUGGCAGGUGCUCAAGCAGUAUUUAUUGACUCAACACAGCUUCAAAGAGUGACUUGAGUGUUUUAACUGUCUGGAUUUUCCCAUAUUUCUGUCAUAUUACAAGGAAUCUCACUAGCAUUUUAGUUGUGUCCCACCUGUAAAUUAUAAUGGGAGGACUGCUGUUGCUACAAAGUUCCCUUCUACUUGAGAGCCAGAGCAGGAUGGGAGUGUAGGCCACCAAGUAAGAAGACACCUGGUCUAUACUCCCCCUGCUUCUUCCCAGACCAGCCAGGUCAGAGACUUGCAUUUCUGCUUCUGCUGGUAGAAUGGCUACAUCAACACUUCUCUAGAGGCUGCUGGCUGGAAUGAUGGUAGGACUUAAGAAUGGGACUUCGUGGGCACCUGGGUGGCUCAGAUGGUUAAGCGUCUGCCUUCGGCUCAGGUCAUGAUCCCAGGGUCCUGGGAUCGAGUCCUGCAUUGGGCUCUCUGCUCCUUGGGAGCCUGCUUCUCCCUCUGCCUCUCUCUCUCAUGAAUAAAUAAAUAAAAUCUUUUAAAAAAAAAGAAUGGGACUUCGUAACACUUCUAGCCUUUGUAAGUCCUCAAAAAGAAGUCACUGCACUCUACCUCUGAAACUAAUGAUUAAAAAAAAAAAAAGUCACUGCUUCUACUUAUUCUAUAUCCAACUUAAUUUUUUCAAAUAGAAAUUCCUUAAUACUUUAUUCCUUAAAAAUUCCUAAUCAUUUCUUAAAUAAUUUAUUCUUAGGGCACCUGGGUGGCUCAGAUUGUUAAGCGUCUGCCUUAGGCUCAGGUCAUGAUCCCAGGGUCCUGGGAUCGAGCCCCGCGUCGGGCUCCCUGCUCCUUGGGAGCCUGCUUCUCCCUCUGCCUCUCUGUCUCUCAUGAAUAAAUAAAUCUUAAAAAAAUAAUACUAAUAAUUUAUUCUUAGAUCCCAUUUUAAACACCUACUAACAAAAUCUUUCCUUUUAAAUUGGCUACUCCUGGUAUAAGCCAAAGCUAUUAGUCUCUGUAUUAUUUUGUAAUUUGUCACACUGAUGAACAAACUGUUUCAGAGGAUUAGUUUUUUUAAAGUGGUUAACUGUUAAGUUACAAAUAUUUCCUUUUUAAUAUUUUUCUUAUUUUGUGCUUGAGUGAGAACAAUGCUAUGUAUACUUUGCAAAGUCUGUCAACAUUCCAGCCUGUUCUGUCAUUGAACUGCUCAUGUUCCAUGGAAAUUGUCUUUUAACAAGAAGUUGGAAAAUAUUCACUGUCCAGGUCAAUAACAGGCAGAUAGCCACUUUGUUCUAGAAAAGUUAACUUUAGUAUUUUUCUGUGACCCACUUUGGACAACCUUACACUUUUCCAGAAAUCUUUCCAUUUUAUUGUUUGCUCAUUCUCACACUCAAGAAGUAAUUCCUGGGCACUUAUGUGUCAGGGACUUGUAACACAGCAGGAAAAAGAUAGCAGUUUCCAAUUUAUCGGCAUGGUUAUGGGCAACACUUCUUAAAAUGCAAAGUUACCCUCCCACCCAGUUUCCUUCUCAGGAAGUCCUCACAGCCUAUCAGCUUCUAUAUUCAGUGAUAACCAAUGUGUAUUUUUUUUUAAAGACACUGAUAUUACGUGCAUCUAUGUAUCUUUAUACAUCUUAAACAAUAUAUUUUUAAGAAAUACAUGUAUCUUGGAAACUUUCAUAUCAGUACAUAGACCUGGCUCAUUCUUUGUUACAGCUGUACAAAGUAUUAUAAACUACACGUGUUGCUGAAUGUGUGUGUACUGCUGUUUCCCCGUGUAGGUUUUUAAUUUGCCUUUUGUCCUUUCAGAAAAUUAGCUCUUGGGUUCUUUUUCUUCUUCUCCAUUUUUGAUUUAUUUGAACUGUAUUUAUCUUUCCUCUUUCCUUAGGACUUUUGGAGUCAAAUGCUUCUUAGUUCAUUUGUUUUCCUUUUUUUUUUAAGCAAUUUCUUCACCCAACAUGGAGCUUGAACUCAAGACCCCAAGGUCAAGAGUCACAUGCUCGUCCUACCGAGCCAGCCUUGUGCCCCUAUUUUCCUUCUUAUUCAAUUAAAAGGCAUUUUCAGGCCUUGAAAUUACCCCAGGGAUUACAUCUGGACACCAGGCAGAGCAGCUUCCAGAUAAAAGGAUCAAGAUUACAUGGGUCCAGGGUGCCUGGGUGGCUCAGCCGGUUAAGCCUCUGCCUUCGGCUCAGGUCAUGAUCCCAGGGUCCUGGGAUCGAGUCCCGCAUCGGGCUCCCUGCUCUGUGGGGAGCCUGCUUCUCCCUCACCUCCCCACUUGUGCUCUCUCACUAUCUCUGUCUCUCUCAAAUAAAUAAAAUCUAAAAAAAAAAAAAAAGGAUUACAUGGGUCCAAAAGAGCAAAUAUAUGGAAGGUGACAGAGAAUGUAUUCUUGAAUAAAGGUUGCACAGUAUGUGACCACACUCCACUAGGCUGGAUUCUUGCCAAACAUGUUUUGAUAGUCACUCGAGAGUGUAACUCUUGGCCCACUCUCCAGGAUGUGAGCCUUUCAGAGUUCUUAAUAGCACUAUGUAUCUCAAGAUUUCCCCUUAUCAUCCCUUACCCACCCUCUAGUCUGAGAGCCUGGCAUUGUCUUCAAAAUCUUUGAAGACAUCCUCUUGUUUUUUAGUUUCUUCAACCAUUCAUUCACCCAACAGUUUCCUGGGCUAGAGAUUGAGUCAUUGUCUUAGCAACUGGGAACAUACACGGGAAACUGAAAUACAGACUGCUCUCAUGUUGUUUAAUAUUUGUUCUAGGGUGCCUGGGUGGCUCAGUCGUUGAGCGUCUGCCUUCGGCUCAGGUCAUGAUCCCAGGGUCCUGGGAUCGAGCCCCGCAUCGGGCUCCCUGCUCUGCAGGAAGCCUGCUUCUCCCUCUCCCACUCCCCCUGCUUGUGUUCCCUCUCUCGCUGUGUCUGUCAAAGAAAUAAAAAAUCUUAAAAAAAAAAAAAAAUUUGUUCUAGGUGUUCAGGUCAGGUAACAGAAUAAGUUGGAAAAAUACAUGAUCUGUUUUCCUGUAUUUGUAUAUAUUUAUAAUGAUCAAAGUUUUAUUUAAAGUUUUCCUUCUGUAUGAUUAUCUCAUAUAAAAUAGGAUGAGACACUUCAUUUUUAUUCUUCUUCAGUAUAAGUUUUUUGUUUUGUUGCUGUUCUGUCAAAUAAGGUGGGAACUAAGGCUGAUGAUUACAGAUUACAUUGAGGGUCUGCUCUCAUAUGAGUCCUCUGAUGUUGAAUACAAUGAGGACUCCUACUGAAGGACUUCUUGCCAGUGGGUUCUGUGCCUCCUGAAGCCUUCCUAACACUGAUUCCAUUCUCAGGUGUUUCCCAGUAUGAUUGCUGUGAUGCUGAGUAAGAGAGCUAUGCAUGAAAUCCUAUCCACAGCAGUCACAUUCCCUUGGCUUUGGAGUUCUCAGAGGUAAUUAUUUGGUGUGAGAACUUUUCCACAUUUAAUACAAUUGGGUUUUUUUGUGUUUUUAUUUUUUCCAGUAUGAGCUCUCUCAAGUCAUACCAGAGUGAAUCAGGCCAGAAGCCUUUCCAGCUAUGAUCAUAUUCCUGGGCUUUCUUCCCUGUUUGAGUUCUCAUGUCAAAAAAACUCAUGAAAAGAACUUCCUCCAUUCAGGGUCUUAGCAUGUUAGUCUCCCAUGUGAGCCUUUCCUUAAAGCCUGAGUUUAAAAUAGGCUUUCUCACACUAAACACAUUUAUUCAGUCUUGUUCUUAAAUAAAUUACCCUUUGUAUAAAACAACUGAUUUCCUACAUCCACUACACAUUUGCUUUAUAGCCCGUGUGAAUCCUCUCAGGCUACACAAAGGGUGAAAUCUAGAAAAGGAUUCCUUCUCUUCCUCCCAAAAAAUAAUCUCCUUGUAGAAGUUAUUUUUUUCUGCUAAAGCUUGCACUAAUUUGUGUUGCUACAUUCAUAUUUGUAGGGCUCAUCUCUCCUGCUUCAUUCCUUGACAGGUGAAGAAUUAAAUGUCCUGCAGGCUUUCCUAUAA